ACGGCAGUGCCCUGCCGCCAUGAGGAGCCCUAGGCCCUCUAUAGCUCCAUGGAGAUCUCCUUCAGCAGGAUGCCUCCAUGGAGACCUCCUUCAGCAGGAUGCCUCCAUGGAGACCUCCUCUGUGCUUGGCCGUGCUUUGGGUUAUUUGCUAUGGGCAGGCACAGUGGCCGUGUCUCCCUGGGGUGGCCUUGGCUCUGCCCGGGAGAGCCACUUCACCCCCUGCUAGAUCUACCCACCAUCGCCCUGUCCUGCUUCGUGUCAGGGUCCUGGCCACUGCCAUGCAUUUGUAAACAAUUUGUCUUAGAAGUGUAUUAAAGACAGAAGUAAAGCAGCAUAAAAAUGGCAUUACAUUCAGCAAAGCAUGUCGGCAUUCGGGGGAUUUAAAAUAACUGGUUCUUUUGUAAUAUGUUUUGCUAACAGGGAAGAAAUCUGUGUAUGUUGAGCCAUCUAGGAGAGUCAAAGAACUGCUUGAAGAAGAGCUUUAUAUGCAGAAAGAAGCAUGCUAUGUUAAACAUCCAGUGGCAGACCAGCUGCAUCCUGCUUCAGUUGGGAGUUUAGUAGUUUUAAGCUGUUCUACAGACAGUAGAGAGCGUCAUACACCCUCAGCAAUCUGAAUUGCUCUCCGAAGAUGUCAAUCUCUUUGUUAACUAUGAAGGAAGAUUACAGUGUUCUGCUUAACUACUUCUCAUUACUGUAUCGACCAAAGGUUACAUUAAUUCUAGAACAAGUUGAAGUAAUCAGUUAUAACAUUAUUGUUGUGACAAAUUAUUAACAGAGGCUCUGCAAGGAAUUUGGAGCAUGAAAAAGCAUUUCUCCAUUGGAAGCCUGAAUCCAGUGCCACAGAACAGAAACAGUUUACUUUUACAGCCUCAAUUCUACUCAAGGCAUGCAGGAAUGAAAAAUUGCUGAACUUCAGUGCUGUGAAGACCUGAGCCUGUGUGUCCACUCAAACACCAAAAUUACUUGCUGCCUUUGGAAGUGUAGAUCUCUAUUUUUAAGAUUUUGAAGAAAGUUCUGCUGGAAUAGGGAGGUAUUUUUCUCUUUGUUUUAUUCCUAUCUUCACACUGUUUUAAUCUGAUGUCGUAGUAGCCAAAUGUCAUCCAUACUUCAGCUGGUGAUGAAGAUGUCACAACAAAAUGUUGUUACUGCUGUAAAAAUCGAUGUUUUCAUAGGCUUCUCUGUUGCAAAGUGAUUGUAAGUUCCAGCAGAGGAUUGUAAUGUUAUCGAAGAGAUGCUUUAAAAUGCCUUGGGCUGAGUCCGUUCAUUAAACUGAGCAGUUUGGAAGCCAAGAGCUUGUGAUUCGAUAUCUAGCUUGAUUUAAUACAAGUUUAACAUAAAUAAA